rnacentral:rRNA from 1 species
AGAGUUUGAUCCUGGCUCAGAACGAACGCUGGCGGCGUGCUUAACACAUGCAAGUCGAGUGCGCGCCUGUAGCAAUACAGGUGGCGCACGGCGCACGGGUGCGUAACACGUGGGUAAUCUGCCCUCUGAUGGGGAAUAACUCGCCGAAAGGCGAGCUAAUUCCGCAUAAUAUUCCGAGAACCUCGGUUUUUGGACUGAAAGGCGUAAGUCGUCGGAGGAGGAGCCCGCGCACGAUUAGCUAGUUGGUAGGGUAAUGGCCUACCAAGGCUUUGAUCGUUAGCUGGUCUGAGAGGAUGGCCAGCCACACUGGAACUGAGACACGGUCCAGACUCCUACGGGAGGCAGCAGUGGGGAAUCUUGCACAAUGGGCGAAAGCCUGAUGCAGCGACGCCGCGUGGGGGAUGAAGCUUCUCGGAGUGUAAACCCCUUUCGAUCCGGACGAAUGCCCGCAAGGGAUUGACGGUACGGAUAUAAGAAGCCCCGGCUAACUACGUGCCAGCAGCCGCGGUAAUACGUAGGGGGCCAGCGUUGUUCGGAAUUACUGGGUGUAAAGGGUUCGU